rnacentral:rRNA from 1 species
CUUGCUCCUUUGACGUUAGCGGCGGACGGGUGAGUAACACGUGGGUAACCUACCUAUAAGACUGGGAUAACUUCGGGAAACCGGAGCUAAUACCGGAUAAUAUUUCGAACCGCAUGGUUCGAUAGUGAAAGAUGGUUUUGCUAUCACUUAUAGAUGGACCCGCGCCGUAUUAGCUAGUUGGUAAGGUAACGGCUUACCAAGGCGACGAUACGUAGCCGACCUGAGAGGGUGAUCGGCCACACUGGAACUGAGACACGGUCCAGACUCCUACGGGAGGCAGCAGUAGGGAAUCUUCCGCAAUGGGCGAAAGCCUGACGGAGCAACGCCGCGUGAGUGAUGAAGGUCUUCGGAUCGUAAAACUCUGUUAUUAGGGAAGAACAUACGUGUAAGUAACUGUGCACGUCUUGACGGUACCUAAUCAGAAAGCCACGGCUAACUACGUGCCAGCAGCCGCGGUAAUACGUAGGUGGCAAGCGUUAUCCGGAAUUAUUGGGCGUAAAGCGCGCGUAGGCGGUUUUUUAAGUCUGAUGUGAAAGCCCACGGCUCAACCGUGGAGGGUCAUUGGAAACUGGAAAACUUGAGUGCAGAAGAGGAAAGUGGAAUUCCAUGUGUAGCGGUGAAAUGCGCAGAGAUAUGGAGGAACACCAGUGGCGAAGGCGACUUUCUGGUCUGUAACUGACGCUGAUGUGCGAAAGCGUGGGGAUCAAACAGGAUUAGAUACCCUGGUAGUCCACGCCGUAAACGAUGAGUGCUAAGUGUUAGGGG